GACGAACGCUGGCGGCGUGCUUAACACAUGCAAGUCGAACGGAAAGGCCCUGCUUUUGUGGGGUGCUCGAGUGGCGAACGGGUGAGUAACACGUGAGUAACCUGCCCUUGACUUUGGGAUAACUUCAGGAAACUGGGGCUAAUACCGGAUAUGAGCUCCUGCUGCAUGGUGGGGGAUGGAAAGUUUCGGCGGUUGUGGAUGGACUCGCGGCUUAUCAGCUUGUUGGUGAGGUAGUGGCUUACCAAGGCUUUGACGGGUAGCCGGCCUGAGAGGGUUAACGGCCUCAAGGGGACUGAGAUACGGACCAGAAGCGUACGGGAGGCAGCAGUGGGGAAUAUUGCACAGUGGGCGGAAGCCUGAUGCAGAAACGCCGCGUGCGGGAUGACGGCCUUCGGGUUGUAAACCGCUUUCGAAUGUGACGAAGAGUGAGUGACGGUAAUGGGUAAAGAAGCACCGGCUAACUACGUG
rnacentral:rRNA from 1 species